CUGGUUUCCUGGUUUGGCCUUGGUGGUGGCAUGAGUUCUGACCCUGGGGCAUGAGAGUAACUUGGUGGCUGGACCUGGCUGAAGGUGGCUGCCUCCUUUUAUCCUUAUGGUAGCUGGUACUCCUGGUGAGGGUUUUGGAUCGGAGAUCUCCCUUGGUGGUGUUUGUGGCUACCCACCAGGGGGGUAUUCCAGAAAGCAGGUUAUGCUAGCUCUCACGUUUUCACCAUCUGGAAAGUCCCUGCUUUGUCCUUAACUCACCUGUCCCUGCACUUCCGUCACUUUCUGCAGCUCAAAGCUGAAAGUCAGUCUCCAUUCCUGUCCGUCUCUGAUGCUUGAACAUAAAACAGUCUUCGGUGUUUCCACGCGACACACGAAGGAAGCCACCAGGAUGUUCCUCUUCUGGACCGUCAGCCUGAUGUUUGCGCUCCAACGCGUCUCCUCAGAUGAAAAGGUCUCCCUGAGCUGCAACCAAACGGUGGAGGUGACGACUGGAGGAGCGGUGACCCUCCAAUGCUCGGUGAUGUGGAGUGGUCCCAUAGCAAAGUGUGGGAACAUCAGCUUCACCUGGAAUACAAACCAGAGCAAUCUCUGCAGGAGCAACGUCUGCACCGAGGAGAAUGCCACCCUCAUCAGGAUGGAGAUGAGGAGCGUUUGGGAGGAGCAAACUGUCACAGUGGGAGUUUUAUCGGGGUGUGGCAUGGAUAGCUCCACCAUCAGGGUAAAGUUAGUGGAAGAUGAGAUCACUUUCAAUAAAAGCAGCUCUACGACAGAAAACCUGACUGUCCUGAAGGUCCUACCUGUAGCAGCAGCCGCCGCCUGUUCUGCUUUAUAUGAGGAAAAGACUCUUAAAAAACCGGAAGCAGGAGAACGUGGACCAGGAGGAACAACUAACCGAAGAACAGCUACAGGAAUACAGGAAUACAGCUUCUGCAGAGGCCAGAGAAGGAAAGCAGCCGGGGUCAAACACAGGUGGACGCGUCUCCAAAGUCUGAGGACGUUCAGGUCCUGCAGGACGCCGGGUGGAGAAGCUCUGACCAGCAGGGGGCGUCGCUUUGGAAGGACAGGUUUUCUGAUACAAACGGGAUUAUUCAGGAUGACUUUGUUUGAUCUUCAGCUCAAAACUGCUGUAAAUAAUUAGUCCCGGGGUCACUUCAAGGUCAAAGGUCAAUGCACUCAAUCCUGCCAUUUGUUUGAGCUCCGCUUGGUCAGCAAUGUUCAGUGAAAUUCACGUGUAAAUAAUUCCUCAGGUUCAUUGGAGGUCAAAUGUUUUUAACUGCUGUGAAUUGGUGCUUUAUUUAUUUGAAUAAACUUUAUAAAUAAUCCUAACUCCUCUGAUUUCAGGGACAAAAACUGGAUCCUAAAUGAGAAAGAAGCAGAACCAGAGAGACCAGCAGCUGGACGGUCAGAAACUCCUGAAUUCAUGAAAGUCAAACCUUGAAUUUAAAGUCAUUUGGUUUAAGAGUGAAAAGUUUUUUCAGGAUUCACAUCGUUUUCAUCUAAAAAAAAAAAGUCACAAAGGAGGGAAAACAAGACAAAAAAAAAUGAAGAGGAAUUUCUACAGUUUUAUCGGUUGAGCCGGUGAUUUUUUCUUUUUCUUUUUUUUUCCCUCGGGCAAAGAGGUUUUUUGUUAGCAUGGAGACUAGAGAAGUCUCCAGAAUUGAACUGUGAUCAAAUAAUUACAGACAGAUUAUUAUAUUGUUAUAUUUGUGUUCAUUUGAUGUUUAAUUAAAACUAUUAUUUGUUAUGUAGGCGAUAAUGCCCGAGGCGGUUCUGAUAUCAGAAUUCAUGGACGGCAGAGGCCUGAUGGCGUCGGAUGUUUGUUUCGUCUCCAUGGACGUUAUCCCAUUUAAACCACGGUGACUUGUGAAAAAAACGAAAUAUUAAAUCAAUUAGUACUUUAAUCCUGUUAUUGUUAAAGACCUAUUUUCAUAAAAAGCAGACUAUUUGUAACGUGGUGAGACCUGUUGUUAUGGUAACGGAUGCAGGACCAGCACCGCCAUCGCUCUGCAGCAGCAGAGGAGAGAGGAACAUAUGAUGAUCGUCAUGUUUGAUCAAAGCAUCACUUCAGGGAGAAAGUUCACCUCUAAUUGGUUGUUUUUAUCCAGAUGAUGAAGCUAAAGUUUGUUUCAAAGUCUAAAUACUGCAGCUCCUCCUCGUCUAGUUCAAGUUAUUCCAGUUAUUAUGACUUCCACUUAAAGACGUCUGGUUCCAACAUGGCAGCGUCCGUAUCAUGAAAAAA